ACCUGUACCCAUACCGAACACAGAAGUUAAGCUCUUUAGCGUCGAAUGUAGUUGGGCUUACGCCCUGUGAGACUAGAACGUUGCCAGGC
rnacentral:rRNA from 1 species